UACGUAGGUGACCAGCGUUGUCCGGAUUUACUGGGCGUAAAGAGCGCGCAGGCGGUCGUUCAAGUCGAGUGUGAAAGCCCCCGGCUCAACUGGGGAGGGUCAUUCGAUACUGAUCGACUCGAAGGCAGGAGAGGGAAGUGGAAUUCCCGGUGUAGUGGUGAAAUGCGUAGAUAUCGGGAGGAACACCAGUGGCGAAGGCGACUUCCUGGCCUGUUCUUGACGCUGAGGCGCGAAAGCUAGGGAGCAAACGGG
rnacentral:rRNA from 1 species